rnacentral:rRNA from 1 species
UGCCAGCAGCCGCGGUAAUACGUAGGGUGCGAGCGUUGUCCGGAAUUACUGGGCGUAAAGGGCUCGUAGGUGGUUUGUCGCGUCGUCUGUGAAAUUCCGGGGCUUAACUCCGGGCGUGCAGGCGAUACGGGCAUAACUUGAGUACUGUAGGGGUAACUGGAAUUCCUGGUGUAGCGGUGGAAUGCGCAGAUAUCAGGAGGAACACCGAUGGCGAAGGCAGGUUACUGGGCAGUUACUGACGCUGAGGAGCGAAAGCAUGGGUAGCGAACAGGAUUAGAUACCCUGGUAGUCCAUGCCGUAAACGGUGGGCGCUAGGUGUGAGGGUCUUUUCACGACUUUCGUGCCGUAGCUAACGCAUUAAGCGCCCCGCCUGGGGAGUGCGGCCGCAAGGCUAAAACUCAAAGGAAUUGACGGGGGCCCGCACAAG